rnacentral:tRNA from 1 species
GCAGGUGUAGUUUAAUGGUAGAGCGUCAGCCCUCCAAGCUGAUCACGCGGGUUCGAUUCCCGUCACCUGCUCCA